GCGAGCGGCGGACGGGUGAGUAACACGUGGGUAACCUGCCCAAGAGACUGGGAUAACACCUGGAAACAGAUGCUAAUACCGGAUAACAACACUAGACGCAUGUCUAGAGUUUGAAAGAUGGUUCUGCUAUCACUCUUGGAUGGACCUGCGGUGCAUUAGCUAGUUGGUAAGGUAACGGCUUACCAAGGCAAUGAUGCAUAGCCGAGUUGAGAGACUGAUCGGCCACAUUGGGACUGAGACACGGCCCAAACUCCUACGGGAGGCAGCAGUAGGGAAUCUUCCACAAUGGACGAAAGUCUGAUGGAGCAACGCCGCGUGAGUGAAGAAGGGUUUCGGCUCGUAAAGCUCUGUUGGUAGUGAAGAAAGAUAGAGGUAGUAACUGGCCUUUAUUUGACGGUAAUUACUUAGAAAGUCACGGCUAACUACGUGCCAGCAGCCGCGGUAAUACGUAGGUGGCAAGCGUUGUCCGGAUUUAUUGGGCGUAAAGCGAGUGCAGGCGGUUCAAUAAGUCUGAUGUGAAAGCCUUCGGCUCAACCGGAGAAUUGCAUCAGAAACUGUUGAACUUGAGUGCAGAAGAGGAGAGUGGAACUCCAUGUGUAGCGGUGGAAUG
rnacentral:rRNA from 1 species